UACAGAGGUCUCAAGCGUUGUUCGGAUUCAUUGGGCGUAAAGGGUGCGUAGGCGGCGCGGUAAGUCGGGUGUGAAAUCUCGGAGCUUAACUCCGAAACUGCAUUCGAUACUGCCGUGCUUGAGGACUGGAGAGGAGACUGGAAUUUACGGUGUAGCGGUGAAAUGCGUAGAUAUCUGGAGGAACACCGGUGGCGAAGGCGGCAUCCUGGACCGAUACUGACGCUGAGGAGCGAAAGCCAGGGGAGCAAACGGG
rnacentral:rRNA from 1 species